rnacentral:rRNA from 1 species
UACGUAGGGGGCAAGCGUUUGUCCGGAAUCACUGGGCGUAAAGCGCACGUAGGCGGAUUGCUAAGUCAGGGGUGAAAUCCUGGAGCUCAACUCCAGAACUGCCUUUGAUACUGGCGACCUUGAGUCCGGGAGAGGUGAGUGGAACUGCGAGUGUAGAGGUGAAAUUCGUAGAUAUUCGCAAGAACACCAGUGGCGAAGGCGGCUCACUGGCCCGAUACUGACGCUGAGGCACGGAAAGCGUGGGGAGCAAACAGG